AUGAACGCUGGCGGCGUGCCUAAUACAUGCAAGUCGAGCGAACGGACGAGAAGCUUGCUUCUCUGAUGUUAGCGGCGGACGGGUGAGUAACACGUGGAUAACCUACCUAUAAGACUGGGAUAACUUCGGGAAACCGGAGCUAAUACCGGAUGAUAUUUUGAACCGCAUGGUUCAAAAGUGAAAGACGGUCUUGCUGUCACUUAUAGAUGGAUCCGCGCUGCAUUAGCUAGUUGGUAAGGUAACGGCUUACCAAGGCAACGAUGCAUAGCCGACCUGAGAGGGUGAUCGGCCGCCUUGGAACUGAGACACGGUCCAGACUCCUACGGGAGGCAGCAGUAGGGAAUCUUCCGCAAUGGGCGAAAGCCUGACGGAGCAACGCCGCGUGAGUGAUGAAGGUCUUCGGAUCGUAAAACUCUGUUAUUAGGGAAGAACAUAUGUGUAAGUAACUGUGCACAUCUUGACGGUACCUAAUCAGAAAGCCACGGCUAACUACGUG
rnacentral:rRNA from 1 species